UCAUCCUACGGGAGGCAGCAGUGGGGGAUAUUGCACAAUGGGGGAAACCCUGAUGCAGCGACGCCGCGUGUGGGAAGACGGUCCUCUGGAUUGUAAACCACUGUCCCCAGGGACGAAGAUGACGGUACCUGGGGAGGAAGCUCCGGCUAACUACGUGCCAGCAGCCGCGGUAAUACGUAGGGAGCGAGCGUUGUCCGGAAUUACUGGGUGUAAAGGGAGCUGAGGCGGGGAUGGAAGUUGGGGGUCAAAACUACCGGCUCAACUGGUAGUCGACCUCAAAAC
rnacentral:rRNA from 1 species